UGGACAUAUCGUGAACGGCGAAGAAGACCAAGUUGUUUUAUGACUCAGGCGCACGCUGGAUUGGUGGAGAUGUUGACCGUCAUCAGCUGGUUGACAGUGUAGCUUAGCAUAGCGGUGCUUGGCCUGUUGCUAGCUUUGUAGCCGACAGCAGGACCCCGUCCCACAAAGCAGCGGCGAUGAGUGGAUCCCGGCUAUCCGACGGCGUAUUCCAACGGCGCGAUGACAGCGGUGAUCCGAGUAACGCAGCAGGGAAUGACGGACCCACAGUAGCGGAGAUCCGAUCCGAACCGACCCGGGCAGCGCAAGCGGGUAAUCCGCGGUCGCAGGAGUAGAUGAGCCGGUCCAGGUUUCCAAGGAGUCAUCGGGCAGUGUGGUAACAGCAGCAGCAGGUGUCAUGAAGAACUGAUGUGACAACCAGAUGUCAGAAAGGUUGGAGGGUGUCCUUGUUAGCUUGUCAUCCUGGUGUAACCCCGAGGCCAGUGAUGUGACUGGAAUGUGAAUUCACCACAGAAGGACUGACUCUACCUGCGGACUCCCAGCUUCCCCGAGAUUCUCAGAGCACCGAGGUGAGUGUCGAGUGGUGUGGCUGGAGGUCCACCUCUUUGGCGGGUAGGACACUCCACCUGAGCUUCGAGUGGACCGCAGCCUGUGGGUGGGAGGGAAAACAAAAUCUGUUUCCUGUCUUGGAUAAGAACGCAGUGUCCUGAACACAACUUGAGCUCUCUGAGUGGCUGGCACCAACACGGGAGUUUUGGCAGAUUGACAGACAGCUGGCUGAGCCAAUGACAGACUUCAACCUUUAACGUGGGCUCAACCCUACGUGCAUGUGCACGGGCGUGCACGUGAACCCAGAUGAGCAGCGCUGCUUCGUGCAUUGUGAGAAGAGGUGGGCCCCCCGCCCUGUCAAAGAGGCUGCUGCAGAUCCCAUCCACUCAUCAGAUCCCAGCUGGACUCGGUCCUGACAGACUCCGUUUGAUAAGGAAAAACUGAAGCCCUCUGAAUCAGAAGCAGGAGUUUAGCCAUGGAUGUCGUCUCCUCGCUGGUCUUUCCUCUCCUCCUCUUCAUCCUCCUGUCCUCCCUGCCUUCCUGCUCCUCCUCCAUGCUGUGUCCAAAGCGAUGCACCUGCCAGAACCUGCUGCCGUCCUACACGGUGCUCUGCGCCAAGACGGGCCUCCUCUUCGUCCCACCCAACAUCGACCGCCAGACGGCCGAGCUCAGGCUGAUGGACAACUUCAUCACCACGCUGAGGCACCGCGACUUCGCCAACAUGUCCAGCCUGAUCCACCUGACCCUGAGCAGGAACACCAUCAGUCAGAUCCUGCCGUAUGCCUUCGCUGAUCUCCAGGAUCUCCACGCCCUCCACCUGGAUGCUAACCGCCUCACCACCCUGGACGACUCUCACUUCCAAGGCCUGGUGAACCUGAGGCACCUCAUCCUGGCCAACAACCAGCUGCACAGCAUAUCGGAGGGAGCUUUUCAGGACUUCCUGGAGACCCUGGAGGACUUGGAUCUGAGCUACAACAACCUGGUGGACAUUCCCUGGGAGACCAUCGCCCUGCUGGUCAGCGUCAACACCCUCAGCCUCGACCACAACCUCAUAGAGAGCGUCCCUGAGGGAAUCUUCUCCAACCUGCACAAACUGGCCAGGCUGGACAUGACAUCCAACAAGCUGAAGAAGAUUCCUCCAGACCCGCUCUUCCUGCGGAUCCCAGUGUACGCCAAGAUGAAGGGAUCUCCUCUCACGGCGCUGGUGCUGAGCUUCGGUGGGAACCCUCUGCACUGUAACUGUGAGCUGGUCUGGCUUCGCAGACUGACUAGAGAGGACGACCUGGAGACCUGUGCUUCACCUAAAGACCUGGCUGGCAAAUACUUCUGGACCAUCAGAGAGGAGGAGUUUGUUUGCGAGCCACCAAUGAUAACACGUCACACCUCCAAGAUGUUUGUGAUGGAGGGCCAGGAGGUCAGCCUACGCUGUAAGUCCAUCGGAGACCCUGAACCUUCAACACACUGGGUCAGUCCUGAUGGGAAGCUGAUCGGCAACACAUCCAGAACCAUCUGUUAUGAGAACGGCUCGCUGGACAUCCUCAAGGCCUCAGUCAAGGAUUCUGGAAAGUUCACAUGCAUAGCGUCUAAUGCAGCCGGGGAGGCCACCGCUCCUGUUGAGUUAGUCGUCAACCCUUCGCCACACUUUGACCCUAAGCUGGACCCUGACCCAGGGCCUUCAGACAUCCCCACAUCUAUCAAGUCCAACGUGAGUGGAGGUCAGGCCCGGUACGACCAGCAGAGGGUCAGUGUGUCUGAUCUGACGUCCAGUUCCGCCACCAUCAGAUGGCCCCCUCAGAACCACAUACCAGGAGUCCGCAUGUAUCAGAUCCAGUACAACAGCUCUACAGAUGACAUACUUAUAUACAGGAUGAUCCCAGCCAACCACAAGUACUUCCUGCUGAGCGACCUGGCGUCGUCGCGGGACUACGAGCUGUGUGUUUUGGCCGUCUACGAUGACGGCAUCACAGCACUGACGGGCACCAAACUGGUGGGCUGCGUGUCCUUCAGUACGGAGACGGAGUAUGGACGCUGCCACUCCAUACGAGACCAGUUCCUGGGAGGUACCAUGAUCAUCAUCAUCGGGGGGAUCAUCGUGGCCUCGGUCCUUGUCUUCAUCUUCAUCCUCCUGAUGAAGUACAAGCUGCACAGUAACCACUACAAGCAGAAGGCCGCCGCACGCCACGCCAACGUCUGCUCCCAGACCAACGGAGGAGGAGGAGGAGGAGGCGGAGCCACCGUCCUCGCUCUGCCUCCUUCGUCCUCCCCAGCAGGGCAGGGUGGAGGUGCGAGUAAAAACUCCCAGCCGUCAUCAUCAGCAGAGUGUUUGGGAGGAGCUUCUCUUCGAGGGACGACUGUAGUGGACUUGAAUCCCACCCAUGACGAUGAUGCCAUCUCCCAAUAACACACAAGAAACUGUCAAUCACAUUCACAACCCACAAAUCUCCAAACCAAUAAUCCACUUCCCUCCCCCCUUUUUUUGAUUUGUUGCUGGUGCCUGGAGCCAAACUCCACUUUACGCCGAGGAGCAGCUCCUGUCGUUGAUUUACUUACAUUCAGCUUCACAGCGCUGGAGGGAGCAGAGGCGGGGGAGGUGCUCCGUCAGCCUGCGUGAUCGCGGCCCUGAUGAUCAGGUAUCCCACCCUGAAGCACACCGUGCCGUCCGACGCCACUCCAUACCACAACCAGAUGGAUGUGAUGCGAGCGUCCCGUGGGCAGCCAGAGGACGAUCAGCAGCCUGCCUGUUGACGCGCCACAUGGCUGGGAUCGCUGGACAUGCUGCACCCAGGUCAGGCUCUGGGUCUUGAACCCUGCUCAUGGUGAACUGGAGCCUGAAAACUCAGAGGAAUCAGAGUGAACUCAGUCCAGAAUCUCUUCUUCUUUCCUGAGGGAAGUAUCCAAUGAUCUGUCAGGGCUUUAAAGGGCCUUGGGAGGAUUUAGCCUCCUCGUCUGACACUAAACGCUGCUCUGGGAAUAUACUGAACGGAUUACGAGGAUUUGGGGAAACCCUUUUAAUGACAUUUUUCCAGGAUGUUGUUGGUUUUUCAAUGGUCGGUGGCGCCGCUCCUCUCUUCCCCAGCAUACAGUCAUAUGCCAAAGGAUUACUAUGACAGCAUUAUUACAACAUUGGGAGAAUAUGCAGACUUCCACAAAGCACACCUCUCUAUUAUCUCAGCAGUCAGAGAGAAAAUACAAGUUUGGCCUUGGACUGAAUAUAUGAGCGCAUUGUCAACGUCUUGUCUCAACGCAUCAACAAUAACAGUCAGACUAAACCGUGAACUCCUCUGGCACUUUAAACGUAUGUUUUCAUCUCACCCCCCGCCCCUUCUCUCUCUCUCUCUCUCUCUCUCUCUCUCUCUCUCUCAUUGUCACAAACAGCUGAAUCGUAUACUCUUCAGUAUUACCAGUCUUCUGGCUCUGAAUGACUUAGAUAAUGUUAAAAUAAUCAGUGUGUUUGCGUCCACGGUGGACUGAUUCUUUCUUUGGUGUCCCGAGAUCGGAGCCCUGAGGAACACCAGCGAGGAUUCACACAAAGCCAAACUUAAAGUUUGACGUGCUCCACAUUUGAUGGUGAAAAUGGUGAAUCGUGAUGUUGUCCGACACUGGAAAGCAACUGUACCAGUAUGAAACAGUGGUGAACUUGACCAUAAGUGUUCCUGUGACUAAAAGCUGGCACUCUGGAUCGUUAAAUGUAUUAAGCGGUUUAAAAAGACGGCCAGCAGAACUUGCGCUGUCCCGUCCCGUCCCUCCCUGUCCUCCCCUCCCUCCCCCUUUGCCGUUUGACAGUGUCUGUGUUUGUAUGUGACAUACACCUUACAGUCUUCGAUGGUUUGACACCAAUGACUUUGAAUAUAAUGGAACAAAUGACCACACUGAGGAGAAAAAACACAACAACGUGCAAAAUGGGGAUUUUAUGCUUUCAUAGAUACAAUUAUGUGGAUUUAUAAAGAAAUAAAAAGGUAUUUUUCUUGGUAAGAAAGUGCGUGUUGUUUAAAUUUUAACAAGCUGAAGCUGUUUGUCUGUUUAUUUGAUGAAGGGAAUUCAAACCAGAAAUGCUGCU